rnacentral:piRNA from 2 species
GGCUCAGCGGUUAAGAGCACUGA